rnacentral:rRNA from 1 species
GAUGAACGCUGGCGGCGUGCCUAAUACAUGCAAGUCGAGCGAACGGACGAGAAGCUUGCUUCUCUGAUGUUAGCGGCGGACGGGUGAGUAACACGUGGAUAACCUACCUAUAAGACUGGGAUAACUUCGGGAAACCGGUGCUAAUACCGGAUAAUAUUUUGAACCGCAUGGUUCAAAAGUGAAAGACGGUCUUGCUGUCACUUAUAGCUGGAUCCGCGCUGCAUUAGCUAGUUGGUAAGGUAACGGCUUACCAAGGCAACGAUGCAUAGCCGACCUGAGAGGGUGAUCGGCCACACUGGAACUGAGACACGGUCCAGACUCCUACGGGAGGCAGCAGUGGGGAAUCUUCCGCAAUGGGCGAAAGCCUGACGGAGCAACGCCGCGUGGGUGAUGAAGGUCUUCGGAUCGUAAAACUCUGUUAUUAGGGAAGAACAUAUGUGUAAGUAACUGUGCACAUCUUGACGGUACCUAAUCAGAAAGCCACGGCUAACUACGUG